rnacentral:lncRNA from 1 species
UCCUCUGUCCGCCUGAAGGUGUCUACCAAGCCCUCUGCGGUCCACAGGAGGAAACUGAAGCUGGGAACAUGGAGGGCAAUUCUGAAGGGGCCCAAGGAUCUGCAAUGCUUCUCAUGUCACCAGCUUUCGCCUUGUCUCUUUCCUGUCUCCUGAGGGAGGCGUCACGAUGUAUGGUUUUCAGAAGAGAUGACUGAGCGACAGAAAAGAGGAUAGGCAUGGACAUCGAGAGAGCUGGACCAGUGGACUCCUGACUUGAUUUUUCCUAGACUGCUGUGUUGGAGAAUGCAACCAUGCUUAGUGAUGGGAAUGUGAGUCUCCUGAACACAGCAGGGAUGCUACAAUGUUUACAGAGGAGGGACCCUGCAGGCUGUCACAGCAGGCCAGAAGUGAACCGCCAAGAGGUGAGAAAGAAAACUAUGUUCAGAUUGACUGCAUCGACCUGGACCAAGACUUCAGGGAGUCUGAUAGCAGCCAGUUCACUGUCAGCAGAUUUAAAACAAGUACGACUUGCAAAAAAGAACGUUUCCUGGUGUAAUAUAAUCUCCAGUGCACAAUGAAGCAUAGUUGCACUGAAACUUAGGAUAUAUGCCAUGUCUUAAAGGAGAUGGGUUCUAUCUAGCUUGACAACCUAAAGAAGAGCCUGGUCUUGGUCAUAAGAUAGUAUAGAGGUCAUUUAGAUUACUAGCCACCUCCAGUCCUGGUGUGGGCACUUGAGAUGGCCUGGCCAGAUAGAUAACACAGACCACCAGGCUGUUAAUCACGUCAACCCCCAACUUUCUGGAUGGAAGAACAGGCUUUUUACAUCUUUCCCACUGGAAAGAUGAUCCUGUGUGCUUAACCUUUCUUAUUUCUCUGGAGAUCUGUGGGCACAAGGACCUUUGUGUUGUGCUGCCAAUAGAAAGUAUUAGCCUCGG